CAGUCCAUGAUGACAACUCAUAUGGUCUCAAAGAUAGAAGCUGACCUAAAAAUCAAUUAUCGAUAGGAUUAUGAUGUACUG